rnacentral:rRNA from 1 species
AGAGUUUGAUCAUGGCUCAGAUUGAACGCUGGCGGCAGGCCUAACACAUGCAAGUCGAACGGUAACAGGAAGCAGCUUGCUGCUUCGCUGACGAGUGGCGGACGGGUGAGUAAUGUCUGGGAAACUGCCUGAUGGAGGGGAUAACUACUGGAAACGGUAGCUAAUACCGCAUAACGUCGCAAGACCAAAGAGGGGGACCUUCGGGCCUCUUGCCAUCGGAUGUGCCCAGAUGGGAUUAGCUAGUAGGUGGGGUAACGGCUCACCUAGGCGACGAUCCCUAGCUGGUCUGAGAGGAUGACCAGCCACACUGGAACUGAGACACGGUCCAGACUCCUACGGGAGGCAGCAGUGGGGAAUAUUGCACAAUGGGCGCAAGCCUGAUGCAGCCAUGCCGCGUGUAUGAAGAAGGCCUUCGGUUGUAAAGUACUUU